AACCAGACUCCUACGGGAGGCAGCAGUGGGGAAUAUUGCACAAUGGGGGAAACCCUGAUGCAGCGACGCCGCGUGAAGGACGAAGUAUUUCGGUACGUAAACUUCUAUCAGCAGGGAAGAAAAUGACGGUACCUGACCAAGAAGCCCCGGCUAACUACGUGCCAGCAGCCGCGGUAAUACGUAGGGGGCAAGCGUUAUCCGGAUUUACUGGGUGUAAAGGGAGCGUAGACGGCAGAGCAAGUCUGAAGUGAAAGCCCGCGGCCCAACUGCGGGACUGCUUUGGAAACUGCCCGGCUAGAGUGCCGGAGAGGUAAGCGGAAUUCCUAGUGUAGCGGUGAAAUGCGUAGAUAUUAGGAGGAACACCAGUGGCGAAGGCGGCUUACUGGACAGUAACUGACGUUGAGGCUCGAAAGCGUGGGGAGCAAACAGGAUUAGAUACCCCUGUAC
rnacentral:rRNA from 1 species